rnacentral:rRNA from 1 species
AAUGCUUGGGAACUUGCCUUUAGGUGGGGGAUAACAGUUGGAAACGACUGCUAAUACCGCAUAAUGUCUACGGACCAAAGGGGGCUUCGGCUCCCGCCUUGAGAGAGGCCCAAGUGAGAUUAGCUAGUUGGUGGGGUAAAGGCCUACCAAGGCAACGAUCUCUAGCUGUUCUGAGAGGAAGAUCAGCCACACUGGGACUGAGACACGGCCCAGACUCCUACGGGAGGCAGCAGUGGGGAAUAUUGCACAAUGGGGGAAACCCUGAUGCAGCCAUGCCGCGUGUGUGAAGAAGGCCUUCGGGUUGUAAAGCACUUUCAGUUGUGAGGAAAGGUUGGUAGUUAAUACCUGCCAGCUGUGACGUUAACAACAGAAGAAGCACCGGCUAACUCCGUGCCAGCAGCCGCGGUAAUACGGAGGGUGCGAGCGUUAAUCGGAAUUACUGGGCGUAAAGCGCACGCAGGCGGCUUGUUAAGCUAGAGGUGAAAGCCCCGCGCUCAACGUGGGAACUGCCUUUAGAACUGGCAGGCUAGAGUCUUGGAGAGGGGAGUGGAAUUCCAGGUGUAGCGGUGAAAUGCGUAGAUAUCUGGAGGAACAUCAGUGGCGAAGGCGGCUCCCUGGCCAAAGACUGACGCUCAUGUGCGAAAGUGUGGGUAGCGAACA